rnacentral:lncRNA from 1 species
CUCUCUCUCUCUCCCUUUCUUUAAAAAUCUGAACUUUUCUCUCUGUCUCUCUCUUUCCUCAUUUGAUUUUUUUUUAAAAAUAAAUAGAAAUACUGUCUUUUUGCAUGCCAUUUUCAUUCUGAUAGUUUAUUUUGAGCUUUCUGUUUAUAAUUUUUGGAUCUGGAUUUUGUGCCUCUAUUUUCUUAUCAGAUCUAUGUUGAAAACCACAAAGAUUCAAUUGUUAUUUGUGGGUUUGCUAAUGGAUUCUAUGUUGAGAAAUUUUGAGUACCCAUUUUCUUUAAUUCUUUUUUUCUUCAAAUAUUCGUGUUGGAAAGAAUAAAGAUUUAAUUUUUAUUUGUGGAUUUUUUAUUGAUGAAUUUUGAAUACCCAAUUUUGGUAUUUUCCAAAUAUUUGUGACAAAAAAGAUUCUAUUUUUAUUUGUGGGUUUUUAUUUCUAGUGGUUUUGAUUCUAUGUUUCUUUGGGUUUAUCAAAUCUUGUAUUUAAUUGUUUGAUAGUUGAUUUGGAGAUCCUAAAGAUUCUAACUUUAUUUGUGGGUUUUCAUUUCUGGUGAUUGGAAUGUUGAAUUUGAUGAGUUUUGAGUGCCUAAUUUCUUUUGGGUUCAAAUAUUUGAGUUGGGGUUAUCAAUAUCUGUUAAGUUUUCCAAUUAGUAAUUUCAAUGGGGAAAUCUAUGUUGCCCGGACUCUCUGAAAUGCUGCAGUGCCCGUUUCGGAUCCUCCAAAAAAAUGCACCAGUUUUGGAGGAUCCGACGCACACCCGGCAAUAUUUUCGGAGAGUCUCAGCAAAAUAGGAUGAAAUUGUAUCUGAAUUGGAAUGUUGACCAUGGGUAUGGCUAGAUUUCUUGAUCCAUUUGCUACUGGCAUUGACUGAUUUACUUUAGGUUUGAGUUUCUGGAUCUACUCAUAUUGUGUUUUUGGUUUUGUAUGUUAUUUCCUGUUUUAUUUCUAAUCUUGAUGGUUCUGUUAUGUUUGAUAUGUUGCUGUUGUGUGUAUUUGAAGUAUAUGGUGAUUAGGAGGUUAAUGUACUUCUGUUUGGAAUUUCUAAUUGUGGCAAGAAAUUAAUGUUAAGUGGUGUUGUUUGCAUUCAUCUGUAGUUUAUUGAUGGAUGACGACGGUUUGAACAUGAGGAACUGGGGUUAUUAUGAACCUUCCCUUAAAGGGCAUCUAGGUCUUCAGCUGAUGUC